rnacentral:tRNA from 1 species
AAGACACUAGUAAAACCGACGAUUACACUGCCUUGUCAAGGCAUAAUUGCGGGUUUGAAUCCCGCGUGUCUUA